UCUGUCCCCGUGUCCCUGUGUCUGUUCUCAGGCGGCCCCAGGAGCUGGCACUGACCGUGCCGCGGGUCGGGCACAGGCUGCUCCCGGCUCUGCCUGCGGAACUUCGGCAAUUGCCCACAGCAGUUCUUUGCCCUGCUCUCCCGAAGGGGCAGCUCAUCUGACACCUGCCAGGUGACACCUGAGGCUCUCCUUUCCCUCCCCCGUUUUCUUGGCAACUCGCACCCUCCCGGGGCAAACCCUCCGGUUUUUAAAAAUCCCAUUGAAACGUUUCAUCUUUAAUUGCAGACGGGGAGGGUCCUGCCUGGGAGGGAACGGCUACAGGAGAGGAAACCAAGAAAUGCUCCAACCGGACGCUGCCGCGCGAGUCAAAGGAGGGAAGGACCGCAGGGAAAUCGAGUCAGGAAAUGCGCUUUUAUUCAAUCUCUGCAGCUCUCCCUCCUCUGCACGAGCCCUUCGCAGCCACGGCCCGAGGGAUUGCGGCCGGCUGGGCUGUGCCCGGCUGGGGACGGGCACCAAUUCACCACUGCCCUGCUCAGGGAGGUUUUCCGGCCCCGUCCGGGAUUCACCCAACGGCUGCAAAGGUGCUCGGGCGACGUCCGAGCUCAUUUCCAGGGAUAAAGGAGCCAAACGAGCCCAGAGGGAUCCCUCGCUCCGAGGCAAAGGCGUCGGUCGAGUGUCACCGCCUGGUCCCGCCUGCGGGGGGGCGUCUCCUCCAGCCGGAGCCCAGCAGCCAGCAGCAGCCUUAAAGCCAGGGCCAUCUGCCCCCGGCGGCACUAAAUCCCGAGCCAGAGCCCUCGGUGAUGCCUGAAAAGAAAAGGGGAUGCUCGGAGAAAGUUGGGCUUGGAGGCAAUUCGCAGUUGUUCAGGGGCCCAACCGCAACCGCAGAACCCGUGGACAGCUGGAACAGGUGGGUCAGAGCCGAGGUGCCCUGAAGGCAGGGAUGUGCAUCCCUUUGCUCGGGGAAAAGGACUUGCCGGGGCCGCUCCCGAGGCUCCAAAGGGACAGCGCUUCCCGGCCGGAGAGACGUCCUCGCCCGUGCUCAGGGGCUGCCUCGCCCCGGGCCGGGAGCGCGGCCGGCCCCCGCCUUCUCCUGGGCCAACACAUCCCCUGGAGCCCGGCCCGGGGCGGAGAAUCGGCCCAAUUCCAGCCAACUCGCUCAGGUUCCCCCAGGGACACCGGCGGGGCCGGGGCAGGAGGGUUACAAACAGCAAAGUCUGUGCAACAUCAACCUGUCCUUGUCCCGAUCCCGCUGAGCAAACCUGGAACCGCGGCUGCUUCCUGGCAAACCUGGCCUUAAAGCAGCAGCUCUGCAGGGGAAUAGCCGGGCUCCAGGAGGCACUGGGAGGCUGUUCCAGCAGGAAUUCGGCAUGGAAUUGCGGGCUGUAGGGACACUGACCCUUAUUUGAUCCUGCUCUCCCACGGUUCAUUUUGGGGGAUCCAUUUGUGCUGGUUUACCUUCAGCGACUCCACCCACAGCUGGAGAUUUGGGGCUGUGCUUCCCUACUCCCAGCAGGUUCCCUAAGGAGCCAGAUA